CUGGGAACCGCAACACUCACCCACCUUUCCGCUUUGCCGCUACGUGGCCUCACCCGAGAAGAAAUCCUCUCCUCUCUCUCUCUUUCUCUCUCCGGCGAUGUAGCCGGAUCCCGCCGAGACCACGAGAGUUUUCCGGCGAUGUCGGCGGCCAGGGGGAGGAGGAGGUGGCCCCUCCUUUGUCUGGCGAUCCUUUACGGAGUCUGGGCGCUGUGCUUCCACUGCCGGGCGGUGGCAAUUCCGAUAUUUCCUUCCAAAUCCAGGGCAAAGUCGCGGGACGAAGCAACCAUCGUCGGCCGCAGGCCCGCCCCCUCCGACUGGGGCUCCCCGGCCGGCGCCGGCGAUCCGUUUCACGACAGCAAGCGACAUAUCCCUAGCUGUCCCGAUCCCCUCCACAAUCGCAAUGUGUAUUGUUUCCUCUAUUUUCUUGGUGUACAGCUGGAAGAGAGGAAGAGAGGCUCUGUAUUGAGGGAAUCUCCUGCUUUCGUUUUGUUGUUAAUAAUUUUCGGUAAAAUGUGGAGGUAUAAUUUAGAUGAGAUUAUUGGCUACAAUGAUUAAUGAUACAGAUCUCGAUAGUGGAGAAGGAAAAGUUGCACUCUAGUCGCGAUCUUUUUUUUUUUUUUCCUUUCUCAAUCGGAGAUUGUAAUAUUUGUGGGUAGAAAUAUGAGCUACAUUAUAAAGGUGUUAUACUAAUUCUGUGUUAGACAUUAUAGUUGCAUUCCAUGGAGAAAUGAGACUUGUGAAUUUCUGUGCGUUUCUUUUUUUUUUUCUUUGUUAUUAUUUUUAUAUUUUGAUAUCUACUGUUGCGGUGUGAGGACAUGGGAGAUGAUUCCAAAGUUGGCAACUGGUAAGAAAGGUAAGAAACUUUGCGCUGUUUCUAACUUCUUAUUGAUGCCUACCAGCUACUGCAUACAAAAGUAUAUAAAGGAGUAACAAAUAUAAUAUACUUUUGUAUUCUUUAUAUUUUCUAUAAUUUUUAUUAAAUUUAACAUGACUUGAAAUAACGUUGCUUAAUACAGACCUAAUCAAUAUGAUAUAGGCAUUAGGAUAUCUCUAAAGAUGACUGUCGUGGGAAAAGAAGACUUUUAAUCCCACACCAAUUGUAAGUCAAAAAAAAUUUUGAUUUAUAUAAAAUAAUUUUUUUUAUAAAAUAUUUUUUAAUAGAUAAAAACGUGAGGCCCAUUAUAGACAACCGUGAGAUGCCUUUGGAUCUUAUGAAUUUUAUGAGAUCUCACUUGCUUGGAUCAGAAACUUGACCUGAUGCAUAAGAUUUGGAUUAUACAUUAGAUCAGACCCCUUUUUAUGAGUCUUAGCCCUAGUUGGAAGGUAUCCAGCCUUUAACCAACCAGAUAAUAUUUUAUAUAUCUUACAAAAAACAACAAAGAAUACCCAUCAUGGAACCACUUUUGCCUCGAACAAUCCUUGAAGCCAUAAGGAGAUCUUGAGGCUGAAUUUGGACUAGAGGAGUGGGGAACAGCAAUGGGGUUUGUCUAAAUUGCCUAUUGUUCUAACAGUGCUCAAAUUAUAAUUAUAAUUAGUGGUUUAUCAAUUAGCUAUACAUAAAUGCUAUGGCCAUGUUACAUGAGGAAAUUUCACCUAUAUAAGUAACUUUUGCCUUUUAUCUAUGUGGUUUCACAAAGGUAUUUUCAAUGUCAUCCUAGAUAUCAGUUAGAAAAUCAUAGCAUUUCUCAUACAUAUAAUUUUUCGCUCAUACCGUUGAUGUUAAAAAGCAAGCUCAUGACUCUGAUCAA